UACGUAGGGGGCAAGCGUUGUCCGGAUUUAUUGGGCGUAAAGCGCGUGUAGGCGGCCUGGAAGGUCCGUUGUGAAAACUUGAGGCUUAACCUCGAGACGUCGAUGGAAACCGUCAGGCUAGAGUCCGGAAGAGGAGAAUGGAAUUCCUGGUGUAGCGGUGAAAUGCGCAGAUAUCAGGAAGAACACCCGUGGCGAAGGCGGUUCUCUGGGACGGUACUGACGCUGGAGACGCGAAAGCGUGGGGAGCGAACAGG
rnacentral:rRNA from 1 species